CAAUAGCGUAUAUUAAAGUUGUUGCAGUUAAAAAGCUCGUAGUUGGAUUUCUGCUUAGUGCGACCAGUCCGCCUUCGGGCUGGUAUCAGGAUCGCUCUGGGCUUUCUCCUGGAUGGCAUGGCUGGGCCUCGUUGUCUGGCCUGCUGUCUAGGUCUUUUACUUUGAGGAAAUUAGAGUGUUUCAAGCAAGAGAAGCUUUGAAUACAUUAGCAUGGAAUAAUAUUACGGAACUCUGGUUCUGUUUUAUUGGUUUCUGGGAUCAGAGAAAUGAUUAAUAGGGACAGUCGGGGGCAUUCGUACUUAACUGUCAGAGGUGAAAUUCUUGGAUUUGUUAAAGACGGACUAAUGCGAAAGCAUUUGCCAAGGAUGUUUUCAUUGA
rnacentral:rRNA from 1 species